rnacentral:lncRNA from 1 species
AUCAUUUUAUUUUUAUUGUGAUUAAGCAACAGGUUCAUACUUCUUAUUCCUCCAUACUUUUCUGGAACCAUGAUCUCAUCAAUGUGGUUAUUCCUCCCAAUGGAGCAGAUCACAACUGAUUCAUGCCUUCUCAUCCUUCUUAGACUCCCAUCAAGCCUCCAGUAAUGAUCUACCACCAGAGCCUUCCUCUAGGUCUUUUAACAUCUUGGGAGUAACAAUGAGUAAUGGGACUUUGGCAUAUGACUAGACUGCCCAAGAUGGUGCUAUCCUCUUAGAAGAUAUGUCAAAUUCCCUUUACAGAGAUUCCUGGGACAAGAGAUUUGGUUUGGAUGCCAGAGCAAAUAUUGGGAAAUUUCAGACCACUUCAUUUGAUCUGUUAGUGACUUCAGAAUUUCAUGCUAUUGCAUGUGAAACAGCUAUGUUUAUUUUCCCCUCAAACAGAAGAUUCUGGAGCCAGCUCAGAGACUGGUUCUCCUUAUCUUACUGGGAUAGAAGUGCUAUUACUGCUGAUUGGUAUGGAAACUUCACCCUGCUCUGUUUCUGACCUGGCCUGGUUCACCCUUCUUUAGGUAACCUGGUGGUUCCCCCCACACAGAGAGAAGAGUGUGGGAAAUUUGGGGAAGAACUUUCCUGGUCAGGAAGAUUAAGAUUUAAUCAAAGAUAGUAAAGAAAUUCUAAGUUUAGGCAAUUGGGUGGAUUCCUGCUCAUUGUGUCUACUCAGACAGGCCUGGGAAAGUGUGGAUUCUCCCUUUUGGCAGACAGGUGAUAUGGAAAUUGAUAAAUCUCUUUGACCAAGAUUUAGGUGCUCAGUGUCACCUACCUCAAGACCCUCAUUGGAAGAAGCCCACCUCUCAUCACAAUGUUCAUUCUCUUAUUACUUAUUAAUGAAUCAGAGUUGAUUCUCACCCUUAGAUGCAUCCCUUUUUCAAAAGACUUUAUAAAUAUUGAAGGUUUGACAGGCUUGGUCUCUUGGCUACAAAGGGGACAAUGAGCCUGUUUUGUCGACUGCUUUCUAGACAUAGUCAAUAAAAUUUAUUCUAACUUACUCA